rnacentral:rRNA from 1 species
AUUGAACGCUGGCGGCAUGCCUUACACAUGCAAGUCGAGCGGCAGCGCGGGGGCAACCCUGGCGGCGAGCGGCGAACGGGUGAGUAAUGCAUCGGAACGUGUCCUUUUGUGGGGGAUAACCAGUCGAAAGACUGGCUAAUACCGCAUGAGCUCGAGAGAGGAAAGCAGGGGACCGCAAGGCCUUGCGCGAGAGGAGCGGCCGAUGCCCGAUUAGCUAGUGGUGAGGUAACGGCUCACCAAGGCGACGAUCGGUAGCUGGUUUGAGAGAACGACCAGCCACACUGGGACUGAGACACGGCCCAGACUCCUACGGGAGGCAGCAGUGGGGAAUUUUGGACAAUGGGCGCAAGCCUGAUCCAGCCA